GCUGGGCAUGGUGGUGCAUGCCUGUAAUCCCAGCUACUUGGGAGGCUGAGGCAGGAGAAUUGCUUGAACCUGGGAGGCUGGAGGUUGCGCCAUUGCCCUCCAGCCUGGGCAACAGAGCGAGACUCUGUCUCAA
ensembl:misc_RNA Metazoa_SRP Metazoan signal recognition particle RNA